CAAACUGGUGAUCACGAUCAAUUCAAAGGUCACCCACACGAUAAAAGAAGCUUGGCAAACCCUGAAAGGAAGCUCCCAAAUCAAAAGACAAGAACAUAACUUUCACUGCCACAAAGGACACCAUCUCAUAUAAUUAGCUUAGCGUACUCCAAUGGAGGCAACUGACUCGAGGACUGUACAUGUACAUUAAUAGAAAAGAAAGAUGGAGAACAAGGGCAUCAAACAAUGGGAAAGAUGGAGGAGAAGGGGACAUUCAGAGAGGAAAUGGGCAGCAAUGGAGUUUUCAGUAAUAAACGGAAGUUGAAAAGGUUGCCAUGUUCUUGGGCUUGCUUGUGGAGAAUUUUUCUCGUUCUCUCUCUUCUCUUCUACACUCAAUUGUUAUUGUCUUCUGAUCAUCUUCAAUGGAAGGAUUCUGUUACCACAACAAGAACAGCAGCAGAAACUGUAACCAUCAUUGCUUCAAGUUCAAACUUAACUAGUGCUUCUACUUAUUCAGGAGACCUACGUGAAUUGCAAACGGCGUGGAACACGCUCACUUUUGGCUCUGACCCAUCUCCAAAGCAACUAAAGAUUGCCCUUUUUGUUAAAAAAUGGCCAAGCAAAGGCAAGGCCGGGGGCUUAGAACGCCAUGCCCAAACCCUCCAUAGAAUCCUUGCACAAAGAGGACAUAUAGUCCAUGUUUUCACAGCACUUCUCCAAGACCCAAUUGAAGUUCUCAGCGAUGACAAAGCCAAGCACUUUCACUUCAGCAACCAUUCUGAUCCAGGCAAAGCGUCUUCAUGGUCUCUCUUUCAGAACAUAAGCCAAAAAGUGAAUGGCUUUGACAUUAUACAUAGUGAAAGUGUAUGCUUACCUCAUAAGUAUGCCAAGGGACUGCCCAAUGUUGUAGCCACUUGGCAUGGAAUAGCGUAUGAGGUCAUACAUUCAGACAUUGUUCAAGAGCUUGCAAGAGAUCCAGGGGAGCCAAGGGGUCAAACCCUAGAGCAAUCCCUAAAAGGAAGGUUGCGAAAAGUAGUGGACGAAAUCAAAUUCUUUUCAAAUUACAGACACCACAUCACCACCAGUGACUAUGUGGGGGAUGUGUUGAGGACAAUCUAUAUGUUACCAAUGGAAAACAUACAUAUAAUUUUGAAUGGCGUUGACCCAAGAGUGUUUAGACCUAACCCAGUUAGAGGCCAAGCAUUUCGAGCCCUGCACAAUGUGCCUGAAAAUGCACAGCUUGUUGUAGGGAUGGCAGGACGGUUGGUUAGAGAUAAAGGACAUCCUAUGGUCUUCAAAGUUCUUCAUGAGAUAUUUAUGGGUAAUUAAAAUAGAAAUUUGUUUUUUCUGAUUGCUGGGGAUGGGCCUUGGGCUUCUAGAUAUACAGAACUGGGAUCUAAUAUUAAGGUUGUGGGUUCUUUGAGCUCUGAUCAGUUGGGGGACUUUUAUAAUGCUUUGGAUAUAUUUAUGAAUCCUACAUUGAGGGCCCAAGGAUUGGACCAUACGUUGCUUGAAGCCAUGUUGUGUGAGAAGCCUCUGUUGGCUACCCAUUUUAGUAGCAUUACAAGGAGUGUUGUUCUAAGUGAAGAGUUUGGAUACACUUUCAGCCCAACUCAUGAAUCCCUCAAGAAGAGAUUGGAGAGAGUUUUAGAGGAUGGGAAGAAGGUGGUAGAGAAGAAGGGAAGGGCUUGUAGGAGAAGAGCUACUCUCCUGUUUACUGGUGAAAAAAUGGCAUCUGCUUAUGAGCGAUUGUUUCUUUGUAUUGCAAUGGGGCAUAAGAAUGGUACUGAUUUAUGUAAUUAUCCCCUUAAUUUUGAUUGAUUUCAAAGCCUAUCUAUAUGGUUCU